UACAGAGGUCUCAAGCGUUGUUCGGAUUCAUUGGGCGUAAAGGGUGCGUAGGCGGCGCGGUAAGUCGGGUGUGAAAGCCCUGGGCUCAACCCAGGAAGUGCACUCGAAACUGGCAGGCUUGAAUAUGGAAGAGGGUCGCGGAAUUCCCGGUGUAGAGGUGAAAUUCGUAGAUAUCGGGAGGAACACCAGUGGCGAAGGCGGCGACCUGGGCCAAUAUUGACGCUGAGGUGCGAAAGCGUGGGGAGCAAACAGG
rnacentral:rRNA from 1 species